AAGUGAUGAUUAUUGGAGGUAGAGCACUGUUUGGACGAGGGGCCCCUCUCGGGUUACCGAAUUCAGACAAACUCCGAAUGCCAAUUAAUUUAACUUGGGAGUCAGAACAUGGGUGAUAAGGUCCGUGUUCGAAAGGGAAACAGCCCAGACCACCAGCUAAGGUCCCAAAAUAUAUGUUAAGUGGAAAAGGAUGUGGCGUUGCCCAGACAACUAGGAUGUUGGCUUAGAAGCAGCCAUCAUUUAAAGAGUGCGUAAUAGCUCACUAGUCGAGUGACACUGCGCCGAAAAUGUACCGGGGCUAAACAUAUUACCGAAGCUGUGGAUUGUCCUUUGGACAAUGGUAGGAGAGCGUUCUAAGGGCGUUGAAGCAUGAUCGUAAGGACAUGUGGAGCGCUUAGAAGUGAGAAUGCCGGUGUGAGUAGCGAAAGACGGGUGAGAAUCCCGUCCACCGAUUGACUAAGGUUUCCAGAGGAAGGCUCGUCCGCUCUGGGUUAGUCGGGUCCUAAGCUGAGGCCGACAGGCGUAGGCGAUGGAUAACAGGUUGAUAUUCCUGUACCACCUAUAAUCGUUUUAAUCGAUGGGGGGACGCAGUAGGAUAGGCGAAGCGUGCGAUUGGAUUGCACGUCUAAGCAGUAAGGCUGAGUAUUAGGCAAAUCCGGUACUCGUUAAGGCUGAGCUGUGAUGGGGAGAAGACAUUGUGUCUUCGAGUCGUUGAUUUCACACUGCCGAGAAAAGCCUCUAGAUAGAAAAUAGGUGCCCGUACCGCAAACCGACACAGGUAGUCAAGAUGAGAAUUCUAAGGUGAGCGAGCGAACUCUCGUUAAGGAACUCGGCAAAAUGACCCCGUAACUUCGGGAGAAGGGGUGCUCUUUAGGGUUAACGCCCAGAAGAGCCGCAGUGAAUAGGCCCAAGCGACUGUUUAUCAAAAACACAGGUCUCUGCUAAACCGUAAGGUGAUGUAUAGGGGCUGACGCCUGCCCGGUGCUGGAAGGUUAAGAGGAGUGGUUAGCUUCUGCGAAGCUACGAAUCGAAGCCCCAGUAAACGGCGGCCGUAACUAUAACGGUCCUAAGGUAGCGAAAUUCCUUGUCGGGUAAGUUCCGACCCGCACGAAAGGCGUAACGAUUUGGGCACUGUCUCAACGAGAGACUCGGUGAAAUCAUAGUACCUGUGAAGAUGCAGGUUACCCGCGACAGGACGGAAAGACCCCGUGGAGCUUUACUGUAGCCUGAUAUUGAAAUUCGGCACAGCUUGUACAGGAUAGGUAGGAGCCUUUGAAACGUGAGCGCUAGCUUACGUGGAGGCGCUGGUGGGAUACUACCCUAGCUGUGUUGGCUUUCUAACCCGCACCACUNAUCGUGGUGGGAGACAGUGUCAGGCGGGCAGUUUGACUGGGGCGGUCGCCUCCUAAAAGGUAACGGAGGCGCUCAAAGGUUCCCUCAGAAUGGUUGGAAAUCAUUCAUAGAGUGUAAAGGCAUAAGGGAGCUUGACUGCGAGACCUACAAGUCGAGCAGGGUCGAAAGACGGACUUAGUGAUCCGGUGGUUCCGCAUGGAAGGGCCAUCGCUCAACGGAUAAAAGCUACCCCGGGGAUAACAGGCUUAUCUCCCCCAAGAGUUCACAUCGACGGGGAGGUUUGGCACCUCGAUGUCGGCUCAUCGCAUCCUGGGGCUGUAGUCGGUCCCAAGGGUUGGGCUGUUCGCCCAUUAAAGCGGUACGCGAGCUGGGUUCAGAACGUCGUGAGACAGUUCGGUCCCUAUCCGUCGUGGGCGUAGGAAAUUUGAGAGGAGCUGUCCUUAGUACGAGAGGACCGGGAUGGACAUACCUCUGGUGUACCAGUUGUCGUGCCAACGGCAUAGCUGGGUAGCUAUGUGUGGACGGGAUAAGUGCUGAAAGCAUCUAAGCAUGAAGCCCCCCUCAAGAUGAGAUUUCCCAACUUCGGUUAUAAGAUCCCUCAAAGAUGAUGAGGUUAAUAGGUUCGAGGUGGAAGCAUGGUGACAUGUGGAGCUGACGAAUACUAAUCGAUCGAAGACUUAAUCAA
rnacentral:rRNA from 1 species